rnacentral:rRNA from 1 species
AUGUUCCCGAAAAAAAUCCUUGGAUCUCUCUUGCACACGCCAAUGGCAUCGGUGAACACUGGUGAGAGGCAGAUGCGGCAGAACGUGCGGCGUACGGCGGGAUCAAGAGGAUGGAUCUCGAGGACGGGCAGGCGGCGGCCGUCAUGCGAGAGGAGCCUGCUCGCAGGGUGCUGCGACGUUGACAAGCUGGGGCUCGAUACUGGGGCGCUCCGCUUCCUGGCGCACCUAUUCGUGUUCCACGGCCACAGAAGUGUACCGGUACUGAAGCACCUUGCGACGCGUUUGGUUCGAGCAGAGGGAAGAGGAAACAGUGUCACCUCCGCCGGCCAUGUAGAAGAUGCCCACUGA